rnacentral:lncRNA from 1 species
UUUAGUUCAAAUGACCGUCACUCCUCAGUUUCUGAAAGCCCUCUUGCAGAUGCACGAGGUGCAUGAAGAAGCCUCUUCACUUUGCCAAGCCAAUUGAACCUUAGCCGUGGCUUGUAUGUACCUCGUGUCCAGCAUUGGUGAUCGCCUUUUUCCCUUUUUCCCAUAAUAGGAGCGCGAACACGGCCAUUUUUGAUGUAUAAGUACUGUGGUUCCAGCGCUAGUCGACGUCUCCUGACGUACCGUUUACCUACAGCCGUACGGAGUGUCACAAACCGCCAGGCAGAGAACUUGAUGUUCCUUUCUACGUCUCCGUGGUAAACACUGUCAACAAACAGUAGCAAAAGCAGUUACGGGUUAUGCAGUGUCAUGGGCAAAAAAUGUAGAACUACCAUUCAUCAACAACUACGGCAACUCUGUCGUGGCACAAUGACAUCUUCCAGAGGAAAUCUCCGGUGGGCACUUGCUUGCGUCGUGAAUCCUUUUGAGACGCGUUGCAACUUCCGAACGAUGCUCAGGAUGUAAACACUUGCACUGUACUGCGGCCGGUCGUUAUUUAUGCACUCAUCGGGGUGUCCAGCGCUGCUCUUUGUCCGGCAUGUCAAUUUAUCCUAACAAGCGUUGCAUCCAGUUUUCAGAACGAAAACUCAGCGUCACGUGAGAGAGAUGCCAGAAACAUGCUGCUCAGAAGACGGUUUUUGUGCGAAUGUCGUGAUUGACGUGAGUUUGCAGUCGGCGUUGCUUUAUGAUGAAAAUGUUGCCGCAGAGAAAGGACGCACGGGUAGAUCCGUUUGUUCGGCAACUCUCAAAAAAGCCCUCGUUCAACACGAGCACAGAGUCCAAGUGAAAAACGAUGAGCAAAAACUGUUUACCAGCGAGAUUGUUUCAGAU